GAGGGGGUGAAUUGUAACAUCCCGAGUUGUGAUAUGUGAAAAGGCUUAAGAGAAUUGAUUUGACUACCUAUGUCACCAAAGUUGAUUUACCUUUUUUGGAGCACAUUCUGAAAGAACUCCAGAGUUAAGCGUGCUUGAGCUGGAGUAGUGGAAGGAUGGGUGACCUAUCGGGAAGUGAUUCGCGAUAACGUGCGAGUGAGGCCAAAGCACGAGAAAAGGUCGGGUGGUGAUUGCAGGGUUAGUAAACAAUGAUUUCGAGUCUUGGAAAAAUUAACGGACCGACAGUCGGACAGGAUGGGGCCCACGGGUCGAGAGAGCGGGCGUGGAUGGUCCAUUAGCUGUGGGCGGUCGGGGCGUUACACGGUGUUUAAUGUAGGAUUUUUAGAUAUGUUAAGCCCCCUAUGUGUCACACUGGUACUGGACCUCCCAUUUAUCACUCUCUCCUCUCUCCUUCAAAAAUCAUUUGUUUCUCUUCCUCUUCCUCUCUCGAUCUUCGUCGGGGGAUUUGAUCUGAAAACCACUUGAUUCUGAUCUCGAUUUUCGUUGGUGUUACGAUUGUUACAAAGGCGAAAGAGCCUGCUUGUUUCUCCUCCGUGAUUCCUGGGUGGUUCUCCGAGAUGAGUCCCAAGUGGCCAUGUCGGUUUCCUCCUUCGUGUUUGAUUGUAAAAGGAUUUGCAAUCAUCAAUCUCUCUGUUUUAAUAAGUAAGAUUGUAAAAGGAUUUGCAAUCAUCAAUCUCCGUGAUUCCUGUAGAAAUGUCGUCGUUUGCUCUCUCAUUUAAACGGCCCGUUUUAAAAACUCAGACCAAGUGAUCGGGAACUAAUCAGAAGAGCAACAAUAACGAGAGCUGCACUGAUGAAGAAUCAAGAAGAAGCUCGUCUCCUCGAAUGCUUACCUAUCCAUCUCCAUCACCAACCUCUCUCGAUACAUAUGACCUUUACUCACCAACCCUUUUCUUUUGUCUUUCAAAAUGAUCGAUUUGCUUGCAGCUAUAAUUGAUUACACCUUUAUGUGUUGAUUUCAGUUUGAUUCAUUCAUGAAAAUAUUGUAAAGGUGUGAACUUUUAUUGAUUAGCACUCUGGUUCUAGUGUCAAACCUUAGACAGUGUGUACUGUAGUUGCAGCAAGUUCUUUGAGUGAGAGAUCUCUCUGUUUUAGAAUUUGCAAUCAUCAAUCUCUCUGUUUUAAUAAGUAUGUUUGGUUUGGUUUCUUUCUUUAGUCUGCGACAUAUGGGAAAGUGUUGGUUCUGGAUGGAGUCAUCCAGCUUACGGAGAGGGACGAAUGCGUCUAUCAGGAAAUGAUCACUCAUCUUCCUUUGUGUUCUAUCCCUAACCCAAAGAGGGUAAACCAAUCAAAGACUUUUGCUUUGUUUUAUCUCUGAAGGAGUGUAAGUAGUUAAGGUUUAUCAAAGAACAUUGCUUUAUGAAAGGUUAUUUAGUAGUAAGCUCACGUUUUUCUUCUCCGGUUUAGUAGGAUGACUUAAUCAUUACUUGUUGAGAAAUAGAAGAACGAACCUACCUUCAAAUUUACAUUUCUUGCUUCUAACUUUGGUAAAUGGCAUUUUCUUCUAAUAAUAUUGAAGACAUGAUUCGACCAAAUCUUUGAUCAACAAUUCAAAGCAAGUUGAUUUGGUUGAGAACAUAUGGCAAAAAUUUGGUAUAAAUCAAGAUUACAACUAAUCGGUUUUUUCUCGUUUAUGCAUUUCUUUCAUGUUUGUUUAAAAUUUCUAAUUAUAAAUUUUUAUUUGUAUUUUUCAUAUGUUUUUAUGUCAUAUUUGUUUAAAUGUUAUGAAAUCCAAUAAUUUAUAAGUUUUGUAAUAUUUAAAUUUAAUAACUUAAUUUCUAAAAAAAAAGUUUUAAGAACCUCAUAGGAAUUCUCCCAUUGGACUUUUACAAAACUAAUUACAUUAAUAGGGGUUCUAAACUUCAUAAAGUACACAAUUAACUAUUAAAUUAAUUUUUAGAACCCAUAACCAAUGGAGGUGGUCUAACGCUAUACGACAUUAAUGGAGUACUAUUUUAGUAUUUUUUUGCUUAUAAUAGUAGUAGUAUUUUUCUACAGUAUGUUUUAAGAGCAUGUUUCGUGUUUACAAUGCUGAUACUCAUUAAAUCUGAUAAUGCUAUUAAUACUACAAAGACAAUAACUACUCACUAGUAGCUAGUGGUGUUAAAAUAGCCAACAACCACAAUUAUCCUUCUAUAUAUAUUUAAAUAAAAAGCACCGCCUCAACCUUUGUAUCUUCUUCUUCUUCUCCAUCCAUCACCUAAUUUCUUAUAAACAUCCUUUGUUUUCACAUUCCUCUUUUAUUCCUUCUCUUCUUCCUCGUUUAUAUCAACGGUGAUCAAAUACAAUCGAUGAGUAAUUUGCUGUUUAUGGAGAUAGAGAAACCGGGACACGUGUCGUAAACGAAAAGUAGUGGAGGAGCAUUAAGUAUAGCCAAUAAACGAGCUACUGAGCUGUUUGAGGUGCUUCAUCUCUGCAACAGAGAGAGAGCAAUAACUCUGUUCUCGAUUUGACCCACAACAACACAUUCAAGACACAAAGAUCCAAGAGCCCUCCCACAUGGCCUUAUAAUUCAUACACAUCUUCUUUUUGUUAAACGAUCGCUCUCUCUUUUCAAAAAAAGAAGAAGAAACUUUCUUUGUUGUCUGUCACUGAAGAAGAAGAAAGAUGAAGGAAUCAAGAUUUGUCUUCACUUUGGCUGUCAUAGUCCUCUGUGUCUCACUAGUUUCUUCUGAGAUGGAGUUGGGUUUGGAGGAUUACAAUAUUCCAGUAGAUCCAACUCCAACAACAAAACAUUCGGUUAGAGGAGGUCCUAUUGAGCACGGAAGCCCUCUCAAUCCUUAUAUUCCCAAGCUUCCUCCUCCUCCUCCUCCUCCACAACCUCAAGACGCUCAUUGAAUGCCUAAUCUUUUCUCUGUAAUCCACUUGAAGAAAAGAAAAAGAAUGCCUAAUCUUUUCUCUGUAAUGUUGAUUUUCAUGAUCUACGUACUGUUUCUUAGAACUUCCCACGGCUUUUUACUGGUUUGGUUUUAAUUUCUCUGCUUCAGACAGAACCACAUUGUAAUAACUUUAAUAUUUUCUACUCGCUAUGUUAAUUAGUUCUGCA